AUUGAACGCUGGCGGCAGGCUUAACACAUGCAAGUCGAGCGAGCGGCGGACGGGUGAGUAAUGUCUGGGAAACUGCCUGAUGGAGGGGGAUAACUACUGGAAACGGUAGCUAAUACCGCAUACCAUCAGAUGUGCCCAUAUGGGAUUAGCUAGUAGGUGGGGUAAUGGCUCACCUAGGCGACGAUCCCUAGCUGGUCUGAGAGGAUGACCAGCCACACUGGAACUGGGAGACGGUCCAGAGUCCUAGGGGGGGCAGCAGGGGGGAAUAUUGAACAAUGGGCGCAAUCCUGAUGCAGUCAUGCCGCGUGGGUGAAGAAGGCCUUCGGGUUGUAAAGCACUUUCAGCGAGGAGGCGUUACUCGCAGAAGAAGCACCGGCUAACUCCGUGCCAGCAGCGGCGGUAAUAG
rnacentral:rRNA from 1 species